rnacentral:tmRNA from 1 species
GGGGGCGACAAGUUUCGACGGGAUGGAGAAGGUCUGGACUGCAUGCCGUGGUUGAUCGAGAGGCCACGUUAAUACUCGAUUACAUGUUAGUUGGCGCCUUCAACAGCGCUCUCGCUCUCGCUGCCUGAGUGGCUUGACCGAGUGAUGGCACGGCAUCAUCGCCCACCGUGCGGACUGGCCGGAAAGACGGCUGACAGGCUGGAAAGACAGCCAAAAAAUAGUGGUAGUCCACUUGCUGUCAGAUAAGUCUGGCUGGCUUGGUCGUGUGUGAGAACACGACAUACGCAUGUAGGCGUCCUUACUGGAAACUUCACCGGACCCGGGUGCAAUUCCCGGCGCCUCCAUUG